rnacentral:piRNA from 1 species
UAAUGUUUGAAUGUUAUUGGAAAGAAAAAC